CACUUACAGAUACUGUCCACUUGCUGCUGCAGGUGACCUCAGAGACAAGCCAGAGGUAUGAGGCGGGGCACCUACCCAGUCUGCUGCACAGAAUGCAGGGGAGAGGACAUGUACUGGUGGCAUCAUUAAGCCUGUUUACCAGAGAAGUGCCUCAAUUUCUCUGCAUUCUAACAAGAGGCAACUGGAGGCUCCAGCCCCUGCGUCCUGCACUUGCUGAAAACUAUCACG